UUGAACGCUGGCGGCAUGCUUUACACAUGCAAGUCGAACGGUAGACCCUUUCGGGGGUUGAGAGUGGCGAACGGGUGAGUAAUGCAUCGGAUCAUACCCAGUCGUGGGGGAUAACGUAGCGAAAGUUACGCUAAUACCGCAUGAGUCCUGAGGGAGAAAGCGGGGGAUCGCAAGACCUCGCGCGAUUGGAGUGGCCGAUGUCAGAUUAGCUAGUUGGUGGGGUAAAGGCCUACCAAGGCGACGAUCUGUAGCGGGUCUGAGAGGAUGAUCCGCCACACUGGGACUGAGACACGGCCCAGACUCCUACGGGAGGCAGCAGUGGGGAAUUUUGGACAAUGGGCGAAAGCCUGAUCCAGCCAUGCCGCGUGCGGGAAGAAGGCCUUCGGGUUGUAAAGCUCUUUCGGCCGGGAAGAAAUCGUGGUCUCUAACAUAGGCCAUGGAUGACGGUACCGGACUAAGAAGCACCGGCUAACUACGU
rnacentral:rRNA from 1 species